GAUGAACGCUGGCGGCGUGCCUAAUACAUGCAAGUCGAGCGAACAGAUAAGGAGCUUGCUCCUUUGACGUUAGCGGCGGACGGGUGAGUAACACGUGGGUAACCUACCUAUAAGACUGGGAUAACUUCGGGAAACCGGAGCUAAUACCGGAUAAUAUUUCGAACCGCAUGGUUCGAUAGUGAAAGAUGGUUUUGCUAUCACUUAUAGAUGGACCCGCGCCGUAUUAGCUAGUUGGUAAGGUAACGGCUUACCAAGGCGACGAUACGUAGCCGACCUGAGAGGGUGAUCGGCCAAACUGGAACUGAGACACGGUCCAGACUCCUACGGGAGGCAGCAGUAGGGAAUCUUCCGCAAUGGGCGAAAGCCUGACGGAGCAACGCCGCGUGAGUGAUGAAGGUCUUCGGAUCGUAAAACUCUGUUAUUAGGGAAGAACAUACGUGUAAGUAACUGUGCACGUCUUGACGGUACCUAAUCAGAAAGCCACGGCUAACUACGUG
rnacentral:rRNA from 1 species